rnacentral:sRNA from 1 species
CACACACACACACACACUCGCCAGUGUUUCCCACCCCUAAAAAGUAAUCAGGGCUGCUUAUUUAUUUUUUAGAGUUAACCUGGAAGACAGCUUUUCCAAUAAGAGCGUGGUGGCUGGCCGGCCGGGACUGCACGCACGUCCCUUAGCGGAAGCAGGAAGGGCAAAACAGGAAGCUCUAGUCAGCAUCCGUGAUUUGCAGGAGGAAGGGCCCCAGAGGCUAUUCCUGUGUGGCUGGAAGGACACAGAGGGGAAUUGUCUGUGAUCGUGCAGCAAGCUAAUGCAGCCACAGACAGCAGUGCACCCAGCCUCACAAGAAGUAUGGCACACAGAUACAGCUUGGCAUCCCCUCUCCCAAUGCGCCCACUUUGAAAGUCUCUUGAUUCUUCACAGGCUUUUGCUAAUUUAAGACGCCUCCAUGGCUUGGCAAAUGUUGAGCUUCUCCACUAGAGAGGAACUAGCUUGGAGAGGCUCCAGGGGAACAAAGGCCUCAUUAGGAUCAAUCAUUUAUUCCGAGUACACAUGGCCAAAAAGCUUUAUUGACGAUCUUAUAUACAACGCAGUGGUAAUUAAGACUAUAAUGCAAAUGACUUCAGCUUAGCAACUCCCUCCGUAAAAAGAAAUUUACUAAAUUAAGUCUGAGGUUUCUGAAAUUAGGUCUUUAAAAAAAAAUCCCCUCUGUUAUAAUUAACCCCUCUCCUCCCUGCCAUCCACCCCCUUGUUGAUGAAAUUAGUUUAAAAUCCAAGCCACAGUUGGUGGUGCUGUGCACUGGUACAGUAGCACUGGCUCUUGGACAUUCUGGUCUGUGAUCUAUCCAGGGAAGCCAGCGGGAGGGCAGGGGUCUUCAAGGCCAGUUAGAGGAGGAGAAAGUCCCGUCGGCAGAGAAGAGGCCAGUUAGAGGAGAAAGUCCCGUCGGCAGAGAAGAGGCUUUUCAGCUGGCGUCUGUUCUGUUUCUCUCAAACCUGACACAAAUUAGCUUCCUUUUUAAAGAAGAAAUGGCUGACCGCUUUGUUGCUCUGAAGGUGCGGGGGAGAUCCACGCUGCAGAGGUCAAAGAGACAACGCUUAAACCAUAUAAUCUGGGACCCCAGACCCUGUCCCCUGAGUUGCAACGGUCGCUGGCCUCAGCUCCUCUCUCCUGAUCUGCCCCAGCAGAGGGCAAUGCCCCCCCCCCCACCUCUGCCUGCCAAGAGCCCUGCUGAACUCUGGCCUGAGACAACUGUACCAGGAGCUCCAGCCUCCCUAACUUUAACCCCAGUUUGUCGUCACAACUGAAAAGGGACUGAAGUUGUCCUGAGCGUGACUUUCCUUCCAGAAGAACACAUCAGCCUCUUCUAUUUGGAUGAAAAGACUUUGGGAACCACAUGACUUGGUCAGAGCCGACCGCACGGCACCUCUCAGUGUUUAAAACCUUGAGGAAGGCUUAACAGCAGAGUAUCUGAGGUCAGAGGCGAGCAGAAUGAAUUAAUGACUCUUGUCCAAAACUUGCCCACCUCUGAGUGGGACAGGAAAGGGCUUUCCUCCCAGAAGUUAAUGUGAAGAUCCUGUGGUCGGUCGCCAGCUUCCUUCGGCUGAGUCCUCUCAGCCGGCCCUGCACACUGACUGGAGAACCUGUGUCAAUGAGCCUGUGUCACACUGCUGCAGGCCAGAUCCACCUUUGCAAUACCACACCAUCCCCGUGUACAGCACCUUCGGCCUGCACCCGCUGAAUUUAGCUGAGUGACUUUCAUCCUAGUCAGUCGAUGUCCAGCGUAAACACCGCCCCGCCAGCAAGACGGAACUCCCUAUCAAACACCACAUCUGGCCCCGGCACAUCUAAACUGCUUGCUACACUCCCUGUGCUGGCUUUGCCUUCCCAAGACAUCUGAUGGCUUUUACUCUCACCUGCCCUAACUUCCACUCCACCCUUUUCUCUUGCAAUGCCAUUUGUGCUCCACGGUCAGUGGAAACCACACGGCCAAAGCCUCACUCUUCCUUUGACCUGUCACAGCAGGGGGUCCUGGUCCUGUGAUUUCCUCUGUAGAUUCCCUGCAUGUUUAUCUACUUCUCUUUCACUGGUCGAACUCCAUGAGGACAGCAGCCAGGUCCCCUGCCUUUCACACAGCUCACCGGGUCAGUUUCAAUGCGACUUUAUAACCGGAGAGAGCUCAAGAUGGGAUACUGGCCUGAGAGACUCCACCCCACUCAAUGAGACCCCAAUAAAAAGCUUUGCAGAGCACCUGGCUCUGAGUCCUCUUAUCUGAAGUGGACUAAAAACAUAAACAUCACCUUGGCUCUUGGAGAUUUUUAUAUUCAAUACUUUCCAGCCACUCAGCUAUUGCAGACGACUAGAUGACCUUCCUUGUCUAAUCAAGUGAGAGGCUCCUAUAUUAAAACUCAAUGGCAAAUGCUCAGCUUGACUCCAUGUCUUUGAGACACGGAAGGAAGUGUCCUUUGCAGUGAUAAGCCACAGGGUGUAACUCGCUGAGACCACGUGAGGAGCUGAUGAACGAGAAGUCCAGCCUGUUUAAAUGCUAGUGAGCAAACCGCAGGAGAGCUCUGAGAUCGGGCACACAUCUCAGUAGUGAGGGCCUCCCCCAGGAAUCACUUUUUCUUGAUGGUCUUGUGUGCUGGCUACACGUGAGUUCGUUUUGGAAGAAGGACUCUCAGUUGAGAAGAUGUUCUCACCAGGAUGGCUUGAGGGCAACCGUGUGGCAGCUGUCAGUCAUGGUGAUUUAUGACUGCAACCUCAACUAAGACAUCCUGUUCCAGGAUCAAAAGUGGAGGUAAAGCUGUCUAGUCUUCGGGAUGACCUGCAGAGAGAAACAGUAGCAGCAUCAAGGCAGAGGGAUGAGUAAACUCAGAAGUGGCCCUAGCUUUCCAGGUCACAUGGCCUCCAAUGAGUUCCAGCCUCACUAAGACCGUUUCCUCACCACUUCAAGGGAGGGGUAGUGAUCAUCUGAUAAACACAGAGUGAACAUCAGACAAGAGCCAGACGAGAGCACCAGAGUCAUUUCUCCGUAGUCUUGGCUGUGGCUGUGCUCACUAGCGGGAGGGGAGGUGAGAGCCGCUGCUCAGAAUGAGGGAAGAUCCCCCAGGUCCAGGAGCAGAAGAGCGAGCCCUCCCUGGGGGACUCAGGACCAAGCUGUUGAAUUGUUUAAAAAGCUUUGACAAAGCCGAGGAAGGGUAGAGGCAAGAUACCCGGUAAGAAAGUUUCAUUGCCUUUUACAAUGAUAAUUCCCAUUGUGUUAUCUAGAUCCAUUAUCCCAUUAGACCCUCAAAGCAACUCCAGGGAAGGAUAAAAGGAAAAGAUCAUGCCUGAUUCAUGGAUUAUGGAAUCCAUUAGCGGGUGAAGCCAUUUGACUGAGGCAGUUGGAAUCCAACAGACAUUUUUUCAAGAAAACCUUGGUGGAGAGAAGUGGGGAGAAAGAUACGCAUUUCUCCCACCAGCUGGAGGAGCGCCAUCUGCUGCUCUACACCCCCAGGCCUACAGCUCUCCUCAGGUCUACAAGGACGGACAUUCUCCCCUGCACAUGGAGUGCAGAGGGUUCCCCACUCCGUUGCUCAUCUCUAAACUGGAAAGUUCCGGUUUCUCUGGAGACUCAGUUGUGUCCUGUGAUGUUUCUCUGGAAGCUGUCUUACGAAAGACCGUGUAACGUUUUGUGGGAGCGGACAGUUGAGAGGGCAGGUGAUGCUUAGGAAGAAGAUAACUCCACAGACAGUGAGAGGACGCUCUUGCACUGGUUCACCUUGCAACGCUUUGCUGGUCUUGACUGAUCUCUACUUGUAAUUUCAUGGAGAGGAACUCGCCAAAGAACUUCUCGUGGUGUUCCGGUUGCUUCUUGCCACUUCUGACUGGAGCUGAUUCAGCGGGGCCUCAUUGUUUCUUCUGGGUUGAGCUGCUGCCACUGACUUGUGUUUGGUGUUUGUGACUGGACUGGACUAUGGCCUCUGAUUCGUGUUUGGAAUCACCCCCCAAAGAACUACUUAUAAAUACCCACAUUUUUCAUUUUCUAUUAACCUUUCUUCGUUCCUAACUUCGGUCGGUGGGCUAGAAAGGAAGUUAAAGCAUUUAAGAACCCGUAUCACAGUAGGCUUUGAACACCCUAAACCUACACACCCCUCCCUCCAUCGGUGUCUCCUCUCACCUCACCAUAAUUGGAACUCCAGGGCGGACGCCUUAGCACUUGUCCUAGAGCGAGGCUCUUUCCCAUGGUGCUUCCUGUCGCUGAUGGUGACCGUGUGUUGACGAGUGCAUGUUUUAGCUGGGUCCGUCUGUCCCAACCCAUAGGAACAUCAACGGAGACCCCGGAGAGGGGAGUGGGAUGGAUGGGACAAGAGGAGCAAGAAAUGGAGACAAGACAGUAUUCUGAUCAAGUCUCAUUUAAACAAGCAAAAAUCACUUGCUUAUCAGCAGAAAAAUCACACAACACAGACUGGUUUUCAGGGUAAUGAUAAGAAAAACAUACGUCACAUCAGAAACCGAUGGCAUAAGUUUUGAUUUCCCAAAAACUUUUUAUUUACAAUAAGCUUCAAUUUCCUGAAGUUCUAACUAACAAUAGAGUGAAACUAAUUCUUGUGUAGAUGCAAGCUACCAGGAAGUCUCCAGUAUUCUUGGUUGGUGGUAACCCCCACGUACAUUACUUGGAAACAAGGGCCCAUGAAGCGGAAAACACCCAGCUCAGGGAAAGAGAGGCAUAAGCAGGCCGGGUGACCCCCGACAGCCAUCAGCAGAGGUAACUCCUAGGAGGUACAUCUCAUCUAUCCUUCCUCCUGUGUGUUUCCAGUGUGUGGCAUCCAAUGAACAUUUAUUUGGAGAGUGAAUCUGUGAGAUGUGUGUCUAUGGGGCAGGCCUCGGUCCUCCUGCCAUGCACCACAGCCAGCGACGUUCCCAGUAAGAACCUGGCCAGAAGGGACUCUUGCAGUCUAUGCACGGUUUAAUUUUUUUAUGAAGUGAGUUAUUCUGGUGAUCAGAACAGGCUAAAAGUAAAUUUUCAAGUCUGCCAAAA